rnacentral:rRNA from 1 species
AUUGAACGCUGGCGGCAUGCUUUACACAUGCAAGUCGAACGGUAACAGGUUAAGCUGACGAGUGGCGAACGGGUGAGUAAUGCAUCGGAACGUGCCCGGUCGUGGGGGAUAACGCAGCGAAAGCUGCGCUAAUACCGCAUACGAUCUGAGGAUGAAAGCGGGGGACCGUAAGGCCUCGCGCGAUCGGAGCGGCCGAUGUCAGAUUAGGUAGUUGGUGAGGUAAAGGCUCACCAAGCCAACGAUCUGUAGCUGGUCUGAGAGGACGACCAGCCACACUGGGACUGAGACACGGCCCAGACUCCUACGGGAGGCAGCAGUGGGGAAUUUUGGACAAUGGGCGAAAGCCUGAUCCAGCAAUGCCGCGUGCAGGAAGAAGGCCUUCGGGUUGUAAACUGCUUUUGUAUGGAGCGAAAAGGCUCUCUCUAAUACAGGGGGCUCAUGACGGUACCGUAAGAAUAAGCACCGGCUAACUACGUGCCAGCAGCCGCCGUAA